UACGGGGGGAGCAAGCGUUGUUCGGAUUUACUGGGCGUAAAGGGCGCGUAGGCGGUCAGCACAAGUCAGUUGUGAAAUCCCUCGGCUUAACCGGGGAACUGCGUCUGAUACUGGAUGGCUUGAGUUUGGGAGAGGGAUGCGGAAUUCCAGGUGGUAGCGGUGAAAUGCGUAGAUAUCUGGAGGAACACCGGUGGCGAAGGCGG
rnacentral:rRNA from 1 species